rnacentral:rRNA from 1 species
UACAGAGGUCCCGAGCGUUGUUCGGAUUCACUGGGCGUAAAGGGUGCGUAGGCGGUUAUAUAAGUCAGUGCUGAAAUAUCCCGGCUUAACCGGGAGGGUGGCAUUGAUACUGUAUGACUUGAGUAAAGUUGAGGUUGGCGGAAUUGACGGUGUAGCGGUGAAAUGCUUAGAUAUCGUCAAGAACACCGAUAGUGAAGACAGCUAACUAAGCUUUAACUGACGCUGAGGCACGAAAGUGUGGGGAUCAAACAGG